CGGGGUUUCGUACGUAGCAGAGCAGCU
rnacentral:piRNA from 9 species